GAUGAACGCUGGCGGCGCGCCUAACACAUGCAAGUCGAACGGUUAAAGCACCUUUUAGGUGUGUAUAAAGUGGCGAACGGCUGAGUAACACGUGGGCAACCUGCCCUCCUCUUGGGGAUAGCCUCGGGAAACCGAGGAUAAUACCCGAUACUUCAAUGUGGCCGCAUGACGACCUUGAGAAAGCUUUUGCGGAGAAGGAUGGGCCCGCGGCCUGUUGGCUUGUUGGUGGGGUAGAUGCCUACCAAGGCAAUGAUGGGUAGCUGGGGUGUGAGACCGACCAGCCAGAUUGGGACUGAGACACGGCCCAGGCUCCGACGGGAGGCAGAAGUGGGGAAUCUUGCACAAUGGACGAAGGCCGGAUGCAGCGACGCCGCGUGCGGGAAGAAGGCCUUAGGGUUGUAAACCGCUUGCAGCAGGAACGAGGCGAUAAGUGACGGUACCUGCAGAAGAAGCCCCGGCUAACUACGUG
rnacentral:rRNA from 1 species